rnacentral:tRNA from 1 species
GCUUUCGUGGCUCAGUUGGUAGAGCAACGCAUUCGUAAUGCGUGGGUCGUGGGUUCGAGUCCCAUCGAAAGCU